rnacentral:rRNA from 1 species
GGCAAGGUUAACCGAAUAGGGAAGCCGAAGAGAAAUCGAGUCCGAAUAGGGCGUUUAGUCGCUGGGUGUAGACCCGAAACCAGGUGAUCUAUCCAUGGCCAGGAUGAAGGUGCCGUAACAGGUACUGGAGGUCCGAACCGACUAGUGUUGCAAAACUAGCGGAUGAGCUGUGGAUAGGGGUGAAAGGCUAAACAAACCUGGAAAUAGCUGGUUCUCUCCGAAAACUAUCUAGGUAGUGCCUCAAGUAUUACCUUCGGGGGUAGAGCACUGUUUUGGCUAGGGGGUCAUGGCGACUUACCAAACCAAGGCAAACUCCGAAUACCGAAGAGUACAGCUUGGGAGACAGUGCACCGGGUGCUAACGUCCGGACACGAGAGGGAAACAACCCAGACCGCCAGCUAAGGUCCCUAAAAUUGGCUAAGUGGGAAACGAAGUGGGAAGGCUAAAACAGUCAGGAUGUUGGCUUAGAAGCAGCCAUCAUUUAAAGAAAGCGUAAUAGCUCACUGAUCGAGUCGUCCUGCGCGGAAGAUGUAACGGGG